UGGGGGAUAUUGCACAAUGGGCGAAAGCCUGAUGCAGCGACGCCGCGUGGGGGAUGAAGGCUUUCGGGUUGCAAACCUCUUUCGCUAUCGAACAAGGCCCGCUUAGGGUGGGUUGAGGGUAGGUGGAGAAGAAGCGCCGGCUAACUACGUGCCAGCAGCCGCGGUAAUACGUAGGGCGCGAGCGUUGUCCGGAAUUAUUGGGCGUAAAGGGCUUGUAGGCGGCUUGUUGCGCCUGCUGUGAAAACGCGGGGCUUAACUUCGCGCGUGCAGUGGGUACGGGCAGGCUUGAGUGUGGUAGGGGUGACUGGAAUUCCAGGUGUAGCGGUGGAAUGCGCAGAUAUCUGGAGGAACACCGAUGGCGAAGGCAGGUCACUGGGCCAUUACUGACGCUGAGGAGCGAAAGCAUGGGUAGCGAACAGG
rnacentral:rRNA from 1 species